CUUGCACUAUCACUUAGCGGCGGACGGGUGAGUAAUGCUUAGGAAUCUGCCAUUUAGUGGGGGACAACAUUCCGAAAGGAAUGCUAAUACCGCAUACGUCCUACGGGAGAAAGCAGGGGAUCACUUGUGACCUUGCGUUAAUAGAUGAGCCUAAGUCGGAUUAGCUAGUUGGUGGGGUAAAGGCCUACCAAGGCGACGAUCUGUAGCGGGUCUGAGAGGAUGAUCCGCCACACUGGGACUGAGACACGGCCCAGACUCCUACGGGAGGCAGCAGUGGGGAAUAUUGGACAAUGGGGGGAACCCUGAUCCAGCCAUGCCGCGUGUGUGAAGAAGGCCUUAUGGUUGUAAAGCACUUUAAGCGAGGAGGAGGCUCUCUUGGUUAAUACCCAAGAUGAGUGGACGUUACUCGCAGAAUAAGCACCGGCUAACUCUGUGCCAGCAGCCGCGGUAAUACAGAGGGUGCGAGCGUUAAUCGGAUUUACUGGGCGUAAAGCGUGCGUAGGCGGCUUUUUAAGUCGGAUGUGAAAUCCCCGAGCUUAACUUGGGAAUUGCAUUCGAUACUGGGAAGCUAGAGUAUGGGAGAGGAUGGUAGAAUUCCAGGUGUAGCGGUGAAAUGCGUAGAGAUCUGGAGGAAUACCGAUGGCGAAGGCAGCCAUCUGGCCUAAUACUGACGCUGAGGUACGAAAGCAUGGGGAGCAAACAGGAUUAGAUACCCUGGUAGUCCAUGCCGUAAACGAUGUCUACUAGCCGUUGGGGCCUUUGAGGCUUUAGUGGCGCAGCUAACGCGAUAAGUAGACCGCCUGGGGAGUACGGUCGCAAGACUAAAACUCAAAUGAAUUGACGGGGGCCCGCACAAGCGGUGGAGCAUGUGGUUUAAUUCGAUGCAACGCGAAGAACCUUACCUGGUCUUGACAUAGUAAGAACUUUCCAGAGAUGGAUUGGUGCCUUCGGGAACUUACAUACAGGUGCUGCAUGGCUGUCGUCAGCUCGUGUCGUGAGAUGUUGGGUUAAGUCCCGCAACGAGCGCAACCCUUUUCCUUAUUUGCCAGCACUUCGGGUGGGAACUUUAAGGAUACUGCCAGUGACAAACUGGAGGAAGGCGGGGACGACGUCAAGUCAUCAUGGCCCUUACGACCAGGGCUACACACGUGCUACAAUGGUCGGUACAAAGGGUUGCUACCUAGCGAUAGGAUGCUAAUCUCAAAAAGCCGAUCGUAGUCCGGAUUGGAGUCUGCAACUCGACUCCAUGAAGUCG
rnacentral:rRNA from 1 species